rnacentral:lncRNA from 1 species
AUCCUCGGAAGGAUCCCGAAUCUCGCGUAUACCAGAAUAUUGAUUUCCGAGUACACAACCCUAAAUUACGAAGCUACUGUGAGAGCCAAUUAUCAUCUGGAUUGAAACAUAGAUGGGAUGAUAUGUGUGCCUUCCGAGUUUUUCCGUAUAAAAGUCAGAUGUCAUUGCAGCUUUGUGAACUCAAGGACGACUACAUUCAAGAAGAAAUCAGGAAACACUGUGUGCCUUCCGAGUUUUUCCGUAUAAAUGUCAGAUAUCAUUGCAGCUUUGUGAACUCAAGGACGACUACAUUCAAGAAGAAAUCAGGAAACACUCAAAUCAAGAAACUUGCGAUAGUUUAACAGGAUGGUU